AUUGAACGCUGGCGGCAGGCCUAACACAUGCAAGUCGAGCGGUAACAUUUCUAGCUUGCUAGAAGAUGACGAGCGGCGGACGGGUGAGUAAUGCUUGGAAAUCUGCCUGGUGGGUGGGGGACAACAGUUAGGAAACGACUGACUAAUACCGCAAUAACCUCUUCGGAGACAAAGGUGGGGGACCCUCGGGCCUCACGCUACCAGAUGA
rnacentral:rRNA from 1 species